UGCUGGUAAUUACCCUUCCCCAAACAGGCUGCUGGCACACAUUGCAGCCAGCAAAGUUGGGACUGAGAGGGGGUGGGGAGGGAGGGAGAUGACACACCACGCGUGAGCCUGGGCAGCCAGCCCCAGACACAACAUCUGCAGAAUGAGACCAUUUUUCUGUAACUCUAAUCUCAUAAUUCAUUGUUUGUGUGGUGUUGGUUACAGUAGCUGAAAGGGGGGAUAACAGCAGGUCAAUUUGGCAGAGUUGCGCCUGAAUCCGCAAUGAGGGACUGGCCCACCUUCUGACAGGCUGCUGAGAGAGUGCCAGAAAAAAAGGGAGAACAUGAGGGAAAGUGGCUUAAAGACAAAAGGGAGGCCCUUAUAAAUCAUACAGCCCUGCUAGAGACAUUUUGCACACCAUGCAGGUGUGCCGGGGGCUUGCAGGCACUGUGGUGAUGCUGCGCUGGCUAUGACGCGUUUCUCCCUGCCGCCCAGGCUUUUCCUUUUUGUGAGAAACCCCCAGCUCUCGUUUUUGGUUGCGGGGAGCCCAGCGAGCGCAGCUCAGAGGAAGGUGUGCUGGUUCAUGUUCGUGGCUGAUCGCCAAACUUCUCCUUUUAAACCACAAAACCUAUUCUGUCAGCCUAAAUUAGCUGACGGCGAGGGAGUGUCCUUCUCAGUUUGCAGGCUGCGGCACAUCUGCUCUUUGAAGACACAGAAGGAACAAAAUAGGAAAAUAGGGUGUUGUGUUUCUUUUCUCCCUCUCCACACCCUCUCCCCCCCCCACCUCCUUCAGCCUCCCAUUUGUACGUGUGUUCACAAACACCCCGAGGAGGGGCUGCGUGUGGGCAGGGGAAGGAGGGUGGUGAGGAGCAGUUCUGCACAGCGUGGGGACACCUUCCUCCCCUGCCGCCUCCCCCUCUCCUCCCCGCUGACCUUGAGUUCGUUCCCUCUGCCUCUCCCUCCCCUCUCCUCCCCCUGCCCUGCUGCAUCUGACAUCUACCGAGGGUUAGCACGGUACUGAGCCCCCUCCCUGCGGCCCUUAACCCGUGCUGCUUGGGGCAUGGUGCCCAGCCAUGGGAGCAGCCCCUCGGCCCCACGCGCAGCUCUCGGACGCUGCUGAUCUGGCUGUUCUUCCCCCGACAGCCAUUGGCGAACAAUGGACGGCCUUGUGCGGCUUGGCCCCUCGGCUGGUGGCCCUGCUGAAGGCCUUGCUGCGAGGGCACGCCUAGUCGCUGUCACCAGACGAAGCACCGGGGUGGCUGUGGGGCUGAAGGCUGUGGGGAUCCCGUUGGGAGCAGCCGGCCUGCUGCUAGUUGGCAACAGUUUCGCUCGCACAGAAAAGUACAAUGGAGAUGGAUCGCGCGCAGCGACAGGCUGCCGGCGGCUCCAAGGGAUCCAUAAUUUAUGAUGUUUUUCUUACCGAUCCGGUUUUGGAUUUCACAAGCAGGCCGGUUUCCUUCCCAUUUGUUGCUUCCUUCCGUCCUCGCGCCGUGAAAAUGAAACCUGGGCUCACAACGAGCAGAACUGUGUGGGUGUCUGAACUUGCACAGGGCAGGUGGGGUUCCCUGGUCUCACCGUGCUGCUUUUAAUUCAUUGCUUGGAAAGGAGCUGGCACUGAUGCACCCCUUGCCCCACCUGAGCUCCUUGACCCACAGCUCUGGCUGCAGCCCUCAACUGGUGGGUCAGCUGGUGAAAGCCGUGCUCCUGGGGCUCUGGCAGCAGGCUGCCUGGAGCACCGAGAAGAUUGAAUGCAUAGGCAGCUAUUAGAAAAGCACUGUUAAUGCCAAAGUCAGGAAAUGCAGCUGUUAAAUCCCUAGCCAUGCUAGCGCAGAGAUAUUUCAGGGCUCAGCCUCACAAGGACACUUCCAAAUUGCCUGCUGCUCUGCCUGAUUCCAGCCUCGCAAUAAUGGAUGUGGUGAUGUUCGCCUUCUUAUAAGGUCCUGCCCAAGAGACCAGCCCCUCGCUCUACUGCCUCACACACGUGGGGAGGGUUAGCUGUGAAUGCAGCCCAUGGAGCUGGAUAGAGCAGCUCUCUGUCUUGGACUUGCCCUGGACUGGCUCAGGGGUCCAGGCUGCUCCCACAGUCUCCUCUGUUUCCAAAGGCAGAAUGUACAAACCAGUGCCAGAGAAAUCUAUGUGGGGGUCACCUCUUUGACCACUAGGCCUUAGAGUUAUUAUUCUUCUUUCUCGUUCAAUAAAUAUAUACAUUUUUCCUGGAAAGCAGGACUGGAUUGUAAAGAGAAGUGAAGGGUGAUAUUUCCAACUCAUAUGCCUUACAAAGAGGGUGACUGAGAGCCUUCUGCAUGGAGUAGCAAAUCUCCUCAGGCACAAAUGGGGAGAAAGCACUUUGGGUGAGACUCCUCAGCUGUUAUGAAAAAUGAAGGAUUUCAGAGAUGUGGCUCCUUUUUCAAGGAACAAAAUUGGGACCAUGCUCAGUUCUGCCAGAAAGAAGCAUGCACAGUGAAAAAGCUCAGUGUAAAAUAUCUAAGCUCUGGAGAGAAGUGGGAUUUUAAACGCACCACUAUGUCCCAUCCUCAGGGUUUUCCCAUGGGCAGGCUCCAGAUGGCCGCUUGCUGAGCACACUGGUUUUUGCAGCUCAGAGGUGUGUGUGGGUUAGGGACGAAUGCCAUCUUAAAAACUGAGGGCCCAGCUGUACAUUUCCCUUGUCUGCUUGAUGUGGCGAGGGAGGAGGAGGCACAGGAAUCAGAGCAGCCCCAAGCUCUACAUACCCUUCACGGAUGAUCCCCACUGGUACGAGGCCCAUGAGAAGACUGGGCUUUCGGCCCUGUGUCAGAUUUGCUGCUGUAAAGUGCCUACCCAUCUCCUAGGCUGUGAGCUUUUAUCUCCACAGGGCACUUUGCUUCUCCAAGUAGAUGUAGCUGCUCUCCUGCCGCUAGCUCGAGGCUCUCCCAUAUGGCACGCACCAAGGCACAUACGUGCACCCGGCACAGCUUCUUUCUUGGAUCUGGUCCUUACUGUUCAGGGACCACAUGCCAUUUGCUGAUGCACCUCGAGCUCUGCAGGUGAAUCAAGAGUGUGGAGUUGGCCUCUGCUUUCAUUCAGCAUCGCUGAGAGGCAGCCAUUCCCUGCAGACAUUGACACGCUGCUGUGCUAAAUGCACCAAAAAGAAAUGGCUUGAGAGUAGAGAGGACUUAAAACUGUGCAGGUCUGGGGCUUUUUUCCCAUUUGAAAUUUUGUAAAAUUUCUCUGCUGGCACUGAGUAAUUAUUUCAAAGGAAGAACUGAAAAAUGUGUUAUUUAAAUCUUGUAAGUAAACAGAGCAAUGGCUCCGUGCUAUGUAUGGAGUGGCCUGAAGUCCUUGUUUUGCUUGAGUGGGACCUUGAGCAACUGCUGGGUUUAUUUUUGCCUGAUAAUCUCUCUAAUAGCAUGGAAAAAGAAGGCACAGACUGUGCCUUUUUUCCUUUCUUUUUUGAGAAUUGAAAUAAUUUGUGUUUCUCUUCAGUGGAAUGAAUUUCCAAACCAUAAUACCACACGUUGAGUGUAUCUGGAAAGGAUGCUGCCUUGUUCGAUGAACUGAAUUGUGCACACAGUUGGAGGCUCUGACAGUGCCAGCAUCAGUGAAUGCAAGUUGCAUAAAAAGGAGGCAGCAUCAUUCAUGACACUAAUGAACAGUCCUUCCUCGUCUAUCAGAGAAAUCUUUCCCAGGGAUAACGAUUCUCCUAGCAUUUCCUUAGCCAUAAAAGAAGAGAUUGUGUUGGGUCUUUGGUUCUGCAUGAGACUAUCAGGAGGAUUCUUAGGCUGAGAACAGAAAUCAAUGUUUCUGUGAUACUGUAUUGGCUAAAUACUUAGACCAGAGAAAAAAGAUUUUGGUCUGACUGCACAUUGAACUUCUUGUUUUGCUUUGCUGUUACAAGAUUGUGAAAAUAGUGUGAAAUUUAAAGGUGCAUGUUUGAUUCUGAGAAAGUCUGCCAGCAAGUCCUCAUCGUUUAUUGCAACACAAUGUAUCUGAUUCACCCAUAUAAUGCUACAGAUUUAAGUAACUGUAAGUUCAUUGAUUUCAGUGGAAUCUUGAGAGUAAAAGAGAAAAAAUGGUGUGAUACAACAGUAAUUCAGCUUUAAUGUAUUUCCUCAUUCUUCAUCAGGUAUUUAUUAGCCUUUAAGAUUCAUCCACUUUAAAUCUUUCUGAGUACUUGAAAAAAGUCUGCUGAGAUAUGACCAAAACCAGUAUGAAUAGCAGAAGAGUCUCUGGGGAUCUAUUCUACAAAAUGACAAUUAGACAACAUCUAAACUAGGAGCUUGCUUGUAACAUAGGCUGGGGAUAUGAUUCUUUCUUUGAAAUAGUACUUUUAUUGAAAUAAAAGCUAAAGCUUAGAUGCAGUUUUAUCUAAAAAGUGUAUUUUGCCUUUUUUAGUUGUGUAAGAAUUAGAGAGUAAAUAGAAGCUGUACUGGCAUAUUAAAUUAUUUAUCAGCAUAUCAUAGAACAAUAGAAUCAUUAAGGUUGGAAAAGACAUCUAAGAUCAUAGAAUCAUAGAAUCAUAGAACCACCAAGGUUGGAAAAGACCUACAAGAUCAUCCAUUCCAACCAUCCACGUAUCGCCAAUAUUUCCCACUAAACCAUGUCCCGCAGUACAACAUCUAAACGUUUCUUGAACACCUCCAGGGACAGUGACUCCACCACCUCCCUGGGCAGCCUGUUCCAGCACCUGACCAC